rnacentral:lncRNA from 1 species
CUUUUAGUAUGUUAUUAUUAGAUUUAAAUGCAUACCCUUCAUCUUCAAGAAUCCCUAAUGAAAUAAGGUUUCUUUUUAAGUUUGGGACAUGCCUAACAUUCUUGAUCUGUCUCACAAUGUCAUCAUGCAUUUUAAUAGCAAUGUCACAAAUUCCCUGUACUAUUUGGGAAUUGUUGUCUCCCAUGUACACUUUCUUGGAUUCAAUUGGAUUGUAAUUGUAGAACCAAGAUCUAUUAGGACUCAUGUGAAAUGUGCAUCCUGAGUUUAAGAUCCAAUCCUUGUCACUAUCAUCAUUGGACACAAUCAUUACAAGAAGACUAUCCAGAUCAUGAUUGAAGUAACAUUGUUCAGGUCAACAAUGCUUUGGUAUUUGUGUUUCCUUUGCAAUUCAAAACAGUCUCUUAAAGUGCCCAAGUUUUUCACAGUGAUAGCACUUUUUAUUACUCUUAUCCCUAGAUUUGGAUCUACCUCUGGAUUUAGAUUUAGAUUUUCUAUUUUGGGUAUUAUUUUCUUUCUUGUCUGUUCUCCCUCUCACAAACAUGCCAUCUUUUAUUGUAUUAGAUUUAGUUUCUUUCUUGAUCUCUAGUUCUCUAGCUCUUAAAGCAUUUGUUACUAUAGUCUAAAUUAGAGUAUCUCUUGAGUAUUUUAUGGCAUUUUUAAUAUCCUUAUAAGAUUUAGGUAGUAAGUUAAGUAGUAUAACUGCAAGGUCUUCAUCAUCAUAUUUCUGUCAUUAUGUACAAGACUCUUAACUAAAAUACUAAAAUCACUCAAGUUUGCUUCUAGGUCUUUCCCAGUGUCCAUCUUAAAACUGAAUAAUUUCUCUAGCAAAUAGAUUAUAUUGGGCAAUGUCAUAAUUAAGAACAAUGCUUCAAGUGCAGUCCAUAAGGCUCUAGGUGUUUCAGAAUCUUCGUCUUGUCUCAUAUUGUUGUCAGAUAAAUGCUAGAUAAUUGGACUAUAAGCAAUUUUGUUUAUUUCUAGAAUUUCAUCAGGUUUAGCUUUUAAUUUAGCAGAAAAAGUUUCAGGAUCAUCUAGGGCCUUAGCAACCCUUUGUUGGACCAAUAUACCCUUCAUUUUCUACUUCAAUAUCAAGUAUUCCCAUUUUCCAUCGAAUUGAGACAACUCAAACUUCGAAUCCAUUACAGGUUCUAUAAAAGGGUUGUGAUUACCUGUCGACAUAAGUGAUUCUUAAUAGUUGGUCACUUAAGUGCAGGAAAGGUUUUGAAAAAACUUUGCAACAAUUAAAAGGUAAACUGACUUAAGAAUGACAAUAUAGUAUCAACAAGAGUAUGCAAGCUGUCAAAACAAAGUCAACAAGUAAUUAAUCUCAAGAUCGCAUAAUACAAUAUAUUGAGAUUACCAACUUAAAACAUGCCUCAAUUCCAUCUCAUACAGAUAUCAUAUACAAGAAUGAAAUUGUUCUUAAAAAAUUUUCCCAUGACGUAUCACCCAAUCUUUAAGAACAACAAAUGCAUGCUUUUUAGUUAUUAUGAGUAAAGUCAAAAUUAGAAUAGUCUCUCCCACUGCACGGUUGACUUAUUAAAAUUCAAAUACUUAGACCACCUUCAAGAAACCCAUUUGAGCUCAAGAUGCUAAGAUCACCAGUUAUGGCUUUCAGCCACUGCACUUAUCAGAAAAUUGAUCAGUAAUAAUUUCCAGAAAAAUAUUCAAUAUAUAAAAAAAUAUGAAUUAAAGUGGAUCAAGAAGAUGAUUCUCUUAGAGGAAAUCGUGACUCGAAGCCCUAAUAGCUUCGAUACCAGAUUUGUAAGGAUUUACCCAUUUGUUUCAAUGCUCGUGUCAGAAUAAACAAUCAAUCAAGCACAAAAGUAGUAAAGAGCACAAACGAUUGUUUACCCAGUUUGGCGAAAAAUGCAUAAUCUAGGGGCUUAGAGGCUGGCCCGUUCAUUAUGUGCAAAAUAACCUUCCAAGAGACAGAGACCACACUCAGAUACAGGAUCCGAUCAUCAAUCCAAAAGAUCUCAAUCAAACAUUAAUCACCAAUAAACCAAGGACCCUAUUGCCUAAUCAAAAUAGAUAUAUGCCUUACAAUCUACCAAAUUACUGUAGCAAGAUAUAUUGUACAAGGUUCUUCAAGAUUAACCAAGAUCUCAUGUAAGAUCACAAGAAACAUAAAUUAAAAAUAGAUGAAGAAGAAAAGUCUCUGAAAGAACAAGAAAGAGAGAUCUCAAGAAGAACCCAGAAGUUGAAAAGCCAAGAUUGAAAUGACCGUCUUGCGAUUGGCCCCUCGAGUACCAAAUUCGUUGUUGAUUUAUCCUCAGCCAUUGAUCAAAUAUGGACGGCUAGGAUGUGAUUUAAAGAAACACAACUCGAGUGAAGCUCCAACCGCCAAUUGGGGGUUGCCAUGUGGGCCUUCCACAUCCAAAAGACGAUUUCACCCUUACAAAAGUGUUGAUUUGAGAAACAUGUUUUCACGAACACUAUAACAAUAUAUCUUUUUUAUUGUUCGAAAAUAUAUUUAUUUUAUGAAAUUUUUAAAAUUGCAUUUGGUACUAUAAUUUGUAUGUAUUAUUAAAUAAUAUUUAAAUUGAUUUAAAAUUUAAAAUAAUAAAACACUUUUUAACCAUUUUUAUACCUUAGCUUCACCUAGACUCAAAUCAAGCCUCCACGCAUUAUUACACAUUACGCUUUUUAGAACACUGCUUGUAAGUAUGCAUAUCUCAAGUAAUCUCAGUACCAAGACGCAAUAAACUCAAUGUUCAAAAAGCAAAAGUGUUUCAUCCAACAAUGCAAUUUGUAUAUAUCUUCUAAAGAAAAUUAGAUAAUCAUGUAUGGAGACAUAACUCUCUCACUGCGUAAAAUCGUGUUUUCCAAUAACUCUAUCCAUGAGGAAUGGCAAGUCGAAUCAAAUCAAUUCCCAUGGAGCAGUGGGGACGAGGCACAGCAAAACACAUAUGGCAUGAAAAGCUUUAUUGUUUUGCAAACAAGAAGCGAUAAAUUAAAGCCUUGCUUUGCUCUCCCACUUGCAAAUUUCUUUUCUGGAAAGUAUUCAACAAAAUACACAGAAAUUAAGAAAAAGUAUGUAUAGACAGAAAGAAAAAUAUAUCAAGUUGGGUUCUGAUCGUACAGCAAGUUGGUUGUCAAUGUCAAGUUGGAGUAGCAGGUUUCCCAUUUCCACAAAUAAACAGGGUUUUUAAUAUAAAAAUAAACUGGUUUUCUAUCUUAGCAUUGGAAAUCUAGGUGCCCUGUCAAGGAAAUGCCUUAUUGCAUCGAUUGAUGCUGAUAGGUUCGAGAUAUUUACUGUUUAUGAUAUUUAUCAAAUUUUGCAUGGCUGAAUUCUAACCUACUUUACCUGUUAGGUAAGUUUUCGGCAAAACGACCUCUUAGGAGCGAAAAGAUGGGAGAUGCAAUGGCCAAGGACUAUGUGAUGCUAAAGUUAGAUGAGGUCGUAAGGAAAUUUGCCUGUAUAAACGCUUAAAGUGCUAGAGAAUGUGGAUCGAAAUUCGUCUAUUUUUAAUUUAUAAAAUCUUUUUCGUCAGUCAUUAGAAUGACAAGUUUAACUUUGCCUUGUAACUUUUGCCGCGUAGAUGGGAUUUAAUUAAGUUGCUAUCGGUCGAGAAAGUUUAAAGAUACUAAGACCAAAGUCAUAAGAAUCGAGGACAUCAUUUUUGUGUUUUUUGUUGAUAGAUAUAACCCUAUUUUUCAAUAAUACAUUUUUCUUUAAACUUAUUUUCAACAAUUCUCUUAAUAAAAUAACAUUACACAUAAAACUAAAACUUUUUCUUAUUUUUUAGCUACACAUUCUACAAAAAUUCACAAUAUAAAAUCUAUUUUUAUCAAAUAAUAGGGUUCAAACAAGGGCAUUGUUAGUUUAGGCCAUUUAGGUAGGAAAUACGCUAGGUUUAGGUUUGGACCACAAAGCUUUCUCAUUGUGCUGUAAAUAACACCAAGGCCUAUAAAAAUAAAAAUUUUAGUAAAUUUUAAUAAAAGUUGAUAAAAUAUGUGAUUGAAAAAUUGAUAUAUAUGUAGAUUCCAUACAAUUUAUGUCAAAAUUUAUUUUAAUUGUUAAUUUAGAUUUUCAUCAAUUUUUUUUCGCGCUAAACCAAAUAGAGGCUUAUGCUGAAGCUCCCAAACUUGUACCAUAAUGGUUCGACUAUUAUUGUACUCAGCUAAGUUGGCAAUCCAUGUCACUUUGCGACUCGUGUAAAAUAUUUAUUAUUUUCAUUAAAAUAAUAAAACAUAGAAUUCAAAAAAUAAAAUAAAUUAUCAACUUCGGGACUCAAUCUAAAUCAUCUAUCAUUUUUACUAAAUUAAUAAAACAUAGAAAUCAAAAAAUAAAAUGAAUUAUGAUGAUCAUAAGAUUUUAGGUUUUCAAUUUCAUUUCAAUAUAUGACGAAUGAAAGUGUAAGAAAUGCUAAAUUAUGUACCGCUCUCUUUAUGCAUAAUGUAAUUUCUCAUGAUACAUGGGAAGAGAAUAACGUCUGAUUUUGACGAAAAAAUUCACACGAACGGCUGGAUGGUUCAAGACAUCGCGUUCACCAACUAGCCUAGUAAAUCCGAUUGUAUUCAACUAAAGAAGGUUCAAGGCCACAAGCUACCUAUCUUGAUGCUACGACUUGUCGUGUGUACUCCGUUUGUUAGAGUCUGCAUUUCAUUUUCAUUGCAUUCGCUUUGUGUUGCGCAUGCGAUAGUUCAUGAUUGGAAGUGGGGGAUUGUUGGAUAUUGGUUAAAUAAAUUGAGAAUUGAAAAUCGAUUAAAGUUCGUAUCGAAUUCGGCCAAAUAUUCAAAAGCUCGACUCAAUCCGUUUAGGCAAAAUUGUUUGCCACUUCGCCGAAAGAGAAUUUUGAUUUCUCUGCAUGUAUUGAAGGGUAUAUUUGGCAUUUCGAAAACCAAUAUCGGAUGAAUGAGAAAUUACGAAAAAGACCUCAACCAUUAGCGAAUAGACACCUUUUCAUAAAUAUGCAUUGUUUGGAAAUGAUGCAUGGUUUGGUCUCAACCAUUUCGUCCACACCCCUUCAUGGUCUAUAAAUAGGACCCUUUGGGUGUCCUAUUCCUCACAGUUUGAUAUACAAAACGUUUCUCAUCCUCUCUUCUAUCCAAAAUCAAAAUCAUUUCGUUUAUUUUGAUUUUCUUUCAUUUCAUCCUUGGAGUACAUAAGCCUAAAUUGGUUCGUUGUACUUGUGUUUUGGAGUGCUACAAACACAAGUGUAGCCGUUGUAUCUUGGGAGUCGAUUGCCGAAAUUCGUAGGCACCGUUGCGGGGCAAAUUCGACUUAAGGACAAAGAGUCCAACUCUUGCCUCGGCUUUGUCACCAUCAUUAUACUUAUUUCAGCGUCACUAUUCACAAAAUUCAUCCAACACUUAUUAUAAGGAGCUUUUGUGACAGCUAGACUCAAUUGUACACUAGUACAAAUUCAUGUAUCCCAGCUCUGUAACAGGAAAAAUAUUUUACAGUUAAAAAAUUAGGUUCUCUUCUAGUUUUUUUCAUUAAAAAUAAAAAAAUAAUUUCCUAAGAUAUAGACAGCCACAAAAAUAUGGGCUUUAUUUGAUGUACAUAAUUUUUUUGUACAUCAAUGUGUCCCACACUAGGUCGAUCGAAUAUUUCAUUCAAAUGGAUUCCACCACAUGUGAGUAUAUGGAUACCUUAAUAUGCAAAAAAUUUUGUACAUGUAGGUUUAUCCGAGAAAUAUUGUAUAGAAAUUGAAUUAUAAAAUUAUCAUAUGUCAUCCAAGAUUUCGAGCCUCUCAGUACUUGACGCCGCCGGUAAGCCAGACACCACGUGCACCUCCCGGAGCGUCCCCACGUUACCGUCGCCGAUCACGUGACAGCUCUUGAGGAAGUGCUUGUACGCCUGCGGUUUGUCGAAGCGGCGGACGACGGACCACACGGUUGCAACCGGCGCAUCAAUAGUUUGCACCACCGAGGAUGAGCACUGGUUGGGUGCCACCGCGUGCGUGUGGUGGUGCAACACGUUAUCCGGCACAUAAAUUUCGCUAGACACCGGGGUAACCCAUGUGGGUGUCGCUUGUUUAUGAUGGAAAUUGGCGGCGGCGCAGGUGGCGACUGUAUCAGUAAUCGGAUUGAUUCUAUGAAGCUGAAGAGAAGAAGGCAUUUCUAUAUUUCACGACUCUUCUCACUUUGUUGGAUCUGUUCUAAUGAGAACGAAUUGUGAAUUUGCAAUGGGAUGUGUGAUGUUAUAUAAAAUCCCAAUUCGUUCUACAUUCAAAUAUAUCAGAUACGCAACUAACGCAAGUGUAGAGAGAGUACAAAUCUUUGUCUACUUGUAAUAGUUUUGUUUAUAUAUAUAUAUAUUUUACAAAGCUUAAAUGGGUGGGGGUGACGUGGGGGUGUGCAAGUGGAUGGGCAACUUGCAUAGUCAUAUUGGACGCAGUCAUAAUUGAAAUUGAUCCAAACAUGGGCUAUAAUUACGUGAUCUGCCCAGGAGUUGGUUAUCCUAGGUUUUUAAAAUGAAAUGACUGAAAUGGCCUUGAGGAGAAAGUUAAUUACUUGAUUUAGGGGGAGCACGAAGAGUCAAGAUCGUAGAGAAAUGGAGAACGUCCAUUAAAGAAUUACUUGGUUUUCUCAUAGCAUCUUCAAUUGUGGCGUAAAAUAAAGAAUUAGAUUUUCAAGGUGGUCGAAAAUAUCUCCAAUUAGGGGUGGACGUGGUUCAUAUGGUUUUGGUUCCAAGAGAACCGAAUCGAACUAUGAACCAAUGAUUUUUUUUAUAAUGGAACCAAAUAAUUUUUUUAAAUAUAUGAAAUGACACUAAACCCUGGUUUGGUUUGGUUCUGAUUUCAUUUCUUAUAUUUUUAGAUUUGCAUCAUAUAAAUUAGUAAUGUAUACUUAAAUAAGAAAAUAAACAUCAAACAUUUAGGAAGUUCAAAUUUCAAUCAUCGAGAUAAAAAAAAAAAUCAUAACUAAAAAAUAAAAUUUAUUCAUAAUUUGAAUACACAAAUCAAUUUUCGUUUUCAUACAAAAAAUUGUUUAAUAAAUAAUAACAAUGAUUUACUAAAUUAAUUGCAGGAAUUUUGAAGGCACACCCCUAUAAUAAAGAAUGAAUUAUCAAAAUUUUGACAGCUCACUUCUAUAGGUAACAUUAACCGUUUAAUAUUUCAUGAAUGUUUAUUAGGUUUUUCUCUAUUUGUGAAGAACACAAAUAACUCAUCGAACAAUCAAGGUAAAAAAGAGUAUAGAAACUUUUUAAGUAAUUGACCACUUUCAUUUUCCGAUCUUAAAUGACACUCCACUGACUUGAUGAAAUGCGGUACCAGUAUGCUGCGACGUUAUGUAAUUCGAAAAGGAGUGAAGGAAAAAUAAUUGAACUGAACACAAGAUUAGAGUGUAAACAACUAAUGAGUUGUUUAUCUCUAAUGACCCAAAAUUGAUUAAAAAAUUGUAUUCAAUUAAUAGGCUAUCUUCAAUGAAUAUAAAAAUAGGGUCUCCACUAAUUAUUAUAUAUAAAAUUAAAUAUUAAUUUUGGUUCUGAUUCUGGUUUUUGAACUAGAACUGAACCAGAACCAGAACCAGAACCAGAACCAGAACCAGAACGAAAUGAUUCUUGGUUCACAGAACCAAAAUCAUUAAUUUUUUUGAUAGAACCGAACCGCUUGGUUUGGUUUGGUUCUGAUUUGGUUUGGACAUUUUGUCCACCCUUAUCUCCAAUGAAAAGACUCAGAUUACAUUUUUCGAUAUGAAAUGUAAAAAAAAUAAAUAUAUAAAUUUAUAUAUUUUCUUACAUUCAUAAGAGGCAAAAGGUGGAUUUAAAUUUUCCUGUUAGAGUCAAAUUUGAAUUUAUAUCCACUUGAAGCACUAGUUGAUAGGUUAAAUGAAAGGUGAUAUGAAAUGAGUUAUUUAAUUCUACCUUUCAAUUAAUGUCACAUUGACGCCACCUAAAUUGAGGUUGCAACUUGAAUGGGGGCUAAAUAGUAUUACUUGAAUAUAAAUGUUGACGCAAAAAUAAUUUUGAAGAUAUCAGUAUACACUCAAUUUUAUUCCACCAUUGAGAAUGCUCUUAAGUGGAAAUUAUCUCUUUUAUAGUUUUACAGUCAAUUCUUACAUAGUAAUUUUGUUCAUAACAUAACUAAUUAAUGCGAGUCGAGAUAUUUUUCGUGUCUUAAAUUUUUAUUUUUAUUUAUGUCAUCAUUAUUAUCCGAGUGCCUAGUUUCCCCCACUUUUAUGGCGAUGACCUCCCCUAUAUCCGUCCUCGUGGCCCAUGAAAUUAGGGAGAGAAGGAUGUCUCUAUUUUGCAAACCCAAUAAAUCUUCUUGUACACCAUGGUGUAAAGCCCUCUCACAAUGUGAGGGGGCUCACAUGAAUUUCAUAAUUGUUUGUGAGAGGGCUCACAUGAAUUUCAUAAUUGUGGACCCCCUAAUUGUGAUAGGGGUGUAAGGGUACACCAAACACUACUGCAAACCGAGGGCCUAAAUGGACUUCUACUGAAAUUUGAAUUGGGUCAUCAAUUUUAUUUGUCUCAAUUGAAUUAGUGAAUUUCAAUUUGAUUUUAAAUUUGACCACUUUGUCACUCGUUGUACCCAAAAUGAACUUUGCUAUUUAUUCACUGAUUUUUGACACUUUUGGUUGAUACUUGCAUUAUUGUCAAGUGUCAAUUGGAUGAAAAAUCUGCUUGAUUUAAACUAUUCAAUAGAGUAAAACCACGCAGUAAUGUGUAAACCAAAGUGUACGUCACAGUGUACAUGUAACAAGGUUCAUCCAAAAUUAAAUAAAUUUGCUUAAUUGAUAGUCAUGGAUCAACGGAUCCUCCACAUAUCGUGGCACGCUUAUUUGUUAUUAUGCCACGCCAUUAACAUGUUUACAAAAUAUAUAUAUAUAUAUAUAUAUAUAUAUAUAUAUAAGGGAUGCUAGUUGACAUAAUAAUAUAUGAUGGUGAAAUUAGAAUUCAAAUUAAUGCUUAAUUACCCUAUUGAGACGUAUUAAAAUACUAGUUUGAGUUGAACAUGCAUUGUACGUUACUCUUAAAUACUUUAUAAGUUUUGUAAAAGUAAUAUUUCAUGUCAAUUUGUUAGGAUGAUUUGAUGAGUCUCAAACGAACUAAACAAAAUAUAAUUUAGGAUAGAUAUUUAAGAGAAGCAAAUUGUACUUUCAAAUCUCAACUUCUAUAAUUUUAAUUUUUUGUGAUGGUGAGCAACAUUUUUAUAUUACAUUUGGUAUAUAAGAAUUAAUUGCAAAUACACGAAUUUAAACGUCAGUUAAAAUUUCUAGAUACAUAAAUAGAAAUAAAUUCAUCUAUAAUAAUUAUAGAUUUAUGUAGAUCAAAAUUCAUUGAGCCAAAUUAAUGUGAAUGUUAAUUAAUUGUGAAUUAGAAAUUUAUAAAUGACAAGAAUUUUGUAGCAUUUAUUACAUAUUGAAAAAUAAAAAAUCAGAUAUUAUUGAAAUAACUAAAUUGUCGUAAGGUUAAAAUCACCAAAAAAAGGAUUUCCACUUGAUGUUGUAUUUAAUAUACUAUAAAUAAUUGACCCAAUUCAGAUUUGGUUAGAAGAAUAGUGACCACAGAAGACAUAUACCCAUAAACCACGUAAGGUAGGAGAAAAAUCUUUUUCCUAAAAAUUGAAUUUUUAAUAGAUUUUGAUAAAAGUUAAUGAAAUAUAAGGUUGAAAAAUUGAUAAAAGUUGUGAAUUCUAAGAAAUAUAUAAUUAAAAAUAAGUUUGAGAAAAAAAUGAAUUUAAAAAAUAGGAUUCAAGCAUGAGCUCAGUAGGUGGUAGAACUUAAUUUUGAAUUGGCAUCCUUAGUAACCUCCGUAAAGUUUUGAAUUGAUGAAUAGUCAAGAUCAUGAUUAAAUAAAGCUCGUGUAGUCCACCAAGAAAAGCCUAUUUAGUAAUAAUAUAUUUUUAAUAUUGGAAUCAAAUAUUUUUGUCAUUUUAAUUCAGUCAGUUAGCAACAUCUAGACGCUAACGGCCAAGCUCUAACAAAUUGAGCUACAAAUCUAUUGAAGAAAAAUUUACUCACCUUUUACAAUUAAUUGUUUGAAUUCAUAUAAAUUAAUUGAGCUACAAGUUUAUGUAUUGAAGAAAAAUAAAUAGGUUCGCCUUUUACAAAGAGAAGUAAAAUGUAUGGUUCUGUUUACACAUUUUUAGUAGUGAACACUAAACGAUAUAGAUUAUUCUUAAAAUUUAGGGGAAGUAGAACAAGAAUUUGAAUGUGCUCGGACAAUUUUCCGAUUACUUUUCAAGAUAAAUUGUAAUUAAUUUAGUUGCACUUUUUUUAUUCAAAUUGAUACACGCGAGAUUAUAUUUCAAUAGAAAUCUCAAUAUCACGUGAAGUACAAACUUGAGAUAAAGGACACAACGAUUAUCAUAAGUUUUGCCAAUUUUUGCCAAAUUGUUCUUAUACUAAAAGGACAAUCAUUUAAUUUAUCAAAUUUAAAUUUCUUUCUCUUUUUACAGUUCAAAACUAAUCAUUUUGACAGUUGUUUUUAAUACAAUCAAAUCCGGCUUUAUUUGUGGCUAGUUGCGAUUAAUUUACUAGGUAUAUAAUUUACUUUAUGGUACAACUUUUCCAUGAUUCCAAUUUGGCAAUUUCGACAAAUGGCUUUCUUUUUGGUCCAUUUUGUCAUUUGGUCUAUCAACUUGAUCAUCUUUAAGUUGUAACACGCCCUUCAAACAUGGUUGUCUUUAUGAAUAUUACAACUUGUUAGUAUCAAAUUGUUAUCUAUUUUAUAUCCUGCAAUAGUAUGAAUCAUAAAAAAUAAUAUACUUGACCAAUGAGUUCGAAAUAUUGUUUUCAUGAAUACUACUAUCUAAUUGUUGAAUAAAUAAUUCAACUUCAAUUUGAUUGAAAACAAAUAGAAGUAACUAUUUUCUUUUUGUGAUUUUUUUUUAAAUUGUAAAUAUUUCAAAAACUAAAAAAGUAAAUUUCACCAUAGUUAUCCCCUCAAUCUCAAUUAUCAAUUUUUUUUAAUAAUUAAUUAUAUAAACACGUUGAAUUCUUUAAUGUAUUCAAUUUACAUAUAUCGAGGUCAAAUUGAUUUUAUUUAACUAAUUUAAUUUCACAUUUCUAUGUUAAAUCUAUAUAUACCUUAAUUAAACGCCUUAAAACUCUAAGAACCAUUUAAUGAUGACUCUAACUAGAAAAUGUAUAUCUACAUUUGUAUACUAAUUGUUGAAUUUUACUGCGUGGUAUAAACAAAUAUUCCACUUCUUGAUGUAAUUAUCACUCACAAAUCAAUGAAUUAGUGGCCAGUUAAUUCGAAGUGUUAAAAAUAGAAGUAAAAUAAUUCACAACAUCAAUUAGAGAUUUGAAACUUUUUAUAAAGAUAAGGCUCAAAACUAUAUUACAAUUAUUCAUUUUAACUCAUUAUUUAAUUAAAUAUUAUGGGAGAAAAAUACAAGAAGGAAUUAAAGUAUAUCACUAAUUUUUUUUUAAAAAAAAAUAGAAAGAAAAGAAAAGAAAAAAUGAAAAAGAUGAAGAUCUUGCUCCAAGAUUCCACCUUUUUAUUUAUUUAUUUAUUAUUAUUAUUAUUAUUAUUUUGUAAAAGCCUUGAAACUUUAACUUCUUGAUUGAUUUCUUGAUUCUUUCCUCUUUUUGAGCUCUCUUUUCUUGUGAUUUGUAUGGCUUUUAUUUAAAGAGGCCUAUUUGGCUUGUAUAAUAUUUGUACAAUAAUUCACCAAGCAUCAGCCUGUAUAUAUAUGUAUAAUGAACCCUACAAGCCUUAUCUAAUUGUUGGACUAAGACAUGCAUUUAUAGAACAAGAUUUAAGCAAAAUCCUAGUACAAAUUGAUUUCCACAAAGAGUUUAAAAAGAAAAAUGAAACAAUUCACCUUUUCAAUUGGAUUACUUGACUCAUGUAAAUUUAGUCCUUCAUCUCUAAUAUUUUACAAUUACGUCAUUUUCAUUUCAAAAUCAUUAAUAAUUGAACAGAUGAAAGUUCAAAAGUUUGCAAGUUAAUGCCCAAACUUUCUAAACAUCGAAUUUGAUUCCCAUAACUUAUGAAUUUUUACCGAAUGCUUCAUUAAUAAUUCCAAUUGAUCAUUUGCAAUCCAGUUAAUCUUUAAUUAAUUUGAAUAAACUUUCAUUAAGUUCAUAGUUUCAUUUUUUUUACCCCAAUUGUGUUCAAGUUAAAAAUUUUCCUACCACAAUUACACAAAUUAAGUAGAUAAUCGCUCAAUUUAAGUACAAUUAAAUAAGAUCUAGAAGUUCGAAUAAAAACAUAGAACCCUAGGUUGAGUUACACCUCAAUUGCUUUUUACUAAAAGGUUCUUUCACAAAGCUUUUAAUAAAUGUUUUAGUAGAAAUUGCUAUGAAUGAUGAAAUAUGUGAUUAAAAUAAUAAUAAAAAAUAUGAAUCACAUGAAAUGUGUAGUUAAUAUUAAUUAUUAACUUUAACUUUUCAAAAUAUAACAAGCAAGCACUAAAACAAUUUGACAAUUAAUAGUCUCUCUCUCUCUCUCUCUCUCUCUCUCUCUCUCUAUAUGCCAUUUAGAACAACUUGUCUUACUGCACAAGUUUAGGUAACACUAAGUAUUAUUAAAUAAAAUGUACAAUUAAAUGAAUCAUAUAAUUUUACCUUUAUUGAACCUAUCAUAUAAUGCUAUAUAGAAGGGUGCUUUAGCAAUACUAAUCCUAGACAACAUUAUUCAUUUUAUAAAAAAAUGAUAAAAUGUGUGAUUAAAAAGUUGAUAAAAAUUUUGAAUUUCAUAAAAGGUGUAUUAUAAAUUAACUGUUGACUUUGACUUAAAUUAUUCAUUAAACAUGAACUUAAUAACUUUUGGUCUAUGUAGGUAAUUCGUUCCAACCUUUAAAAGCGGACUCGACAUUCUAUACAUUAUACAAUAAAAAAUCUCAGAGUGGUUUUGGAUAGCUUUCGAUAAAAUUUUUGGCAAUUUUGAUAAAAGUUAAUGUAAUAUUUAAUAGAAAAUUUGAUAAAAGUUACUAGUCUUACGAGUGUGGUUAAAAAUAAAAUUUCAUCUCUUUAAAUUUUUACUAGCUCUCUCUCUCUCUCUCUCUCUCUCAAUUUUCUACUGCCCACUCUCCCCCAGUUUCAAUGAUAAUUCUUACGUACAAUUUAUUCACACGCGCUUGUUGGGUCAAGUAGGCAGACAUUAUUAUGUGUGUAAAAAGAGUUACUAAGCCCUAGUUUGAUUAUUUUUUAGAAUAGAUUUUGUAAAAAACAUAAUUUUUCUUUAGAGAAUGUAUAGAUAAAGAUGAUAUUAGGUAAAAAGAAAAAAAAAAGAACAUUAAAGAAUGAAGUUCAAACAAGGGCUAAAUAUAUAAAGUUUGAGAUUAUAAGGGAAUUUAGUAAGAAAAUUUAAAAAAUAAACAAAAAGAGAUUUCACGUGAUAGAACACAUGCGGGGGAGGGAGGGAGGGAGGGAAUUUGAUGCUCCAAACUUCCAAAUUUUCUAUCAUAUUUUUCAACGUCUCAUUGGUUGGUGGACACAUUAUUUAAUCAAAUCAAAAAGUAAUUUUUGAACUAGAAAAUUGAAUAAAGUAAGAAAAAUAAUUUUUUAUUUUAUUAUAUUUUGUUGUAUUCUAUAGAAUUUCUAGAUGCUACCAAAUUUCUAUUUAUAGACAUAAAAUAGUACCAUCCAUAUAUAAUAAGAAUUUCACUUUCAAAUAGGAGUCUCAAUUAAUCCCUUGUUUAAUAGCAAUUGCUGGGGAAAAAAAUGAUGUUCUGAAUAGUAAUUCUUUGAAGAAUUUGUAGUUACAAAAAGGAAAAAAUUUGAAUUUAUGGUAAAAUAUUUUAUUUUGUGAAUGUGUAAUUGAAGAUGAGUAUGAAAAUUAAAGAAUUUUGUUUUAAAAGAAGACAAACAAAGGUUAAAAUCCAAAUAUGAGUUGUAAUUAAAGUUCAAAUUUAAUUGGUUUUAUUUAAUUACAUUUGUAGUACUAGAACUUCAAUUAAAAUUCCAAUUAAGUUUACAACUUUCAUACCAAUUACAUAUAAAUCCAAAAUUUUAUUAUAAUUAUAAUUAAGUCCAAAACUUUUAUAAUGAUUAUAAUUAAGUUCUAAUACUUUAUAAACUUACCACAUAAUUCUGCUCGAACAUAUAUUAUCCAAGCUUUAAUAAUUAAAUCAUGUAUAGUCGACUCUAGAUCACUCGAUCUAAUUAUUUGUCUUUGCCUAAUCAUCUAAAGGUAAAAGACUGAACUUUCUAAAUAUAUAAAAUCACAUAAACCCAUAAAUUUAUAAUAUUUUCCUUAAAACGGUCAUAGAUGUAUUUUAUUUUUGCUUGAGAUUCAAUAAUUUGGUACGCAAAUAAAUGAUCAUUUACUCUUCUAAUGAUUCUCACUUACUUAAGUACAAUUUUCUUCAAUGCUUUUGUGAACUAAUCAGGAUCUCAAAAUUUAACAGUCGCUAAACAUUGAGUUUGUAUUUCAACUAUUCAAUAGAAAAUAUUUAAGUAUUCACUCUAUCUAUGUUUAAGGGCGAUGGCUCCCGACACAUUCAAAUUCUCUACUUCGUUCAUCUCAAGCUUCCAAUUCACCGAGAUAUUUGAUUAAUUUCAAUUGAUCUCACCCAUUGGUAAAUAAAAAACUGUUAAAGUCAUGAAAAAAUAUGCAAGACCCAGUUAAAUAAUUUAGAUAAAAUACACGACGAUCAAAUGAAAUUUUAUUCCUUCGCAAGUUCAUGCUAUAGAGUUAAACUUCACACUUGAUCCGUUCAAGAUUCUCUAAGUGUACUAGUAUCAAAUUUAACCAUUUUUGUGAUGAGGACAAAUCACAAAUCCGUAUAGUAAAUCAAUCAAUACUACAACCUUUCAGUACAAGGUACCACGGUUAUCCAUUGGUUGUGAACAAAUUAUUAUGAUCAAAAUAAGUUGUUUCACACUGUUCUUCUCAACACAAGUACCUCAACUACAUUAUCACAAAUGAUUUUAAUCACUUUAAUUCGCAUGCUCAAUAAUAAAUUAAUGUAAUAAAUAAAAUUAUUAUAAAAUAUUAUUUUAUUAUAGCAAAAUACGCUAUUUGGGCAUACAACCUAACAAAUUCCCCAUUUUUCCUAAAGUAUAUUUUGUCAUGUCUUACAACAUCAUAUCUUACAGCUGCUCUAAAAAAUCUUUGCCAAUAAGCUCUUAAUAAGCGAUUUUGCAAGAUUAUCUCCAUUAGCAAUCUUACUAACAAUCACAUUUCUUCAACUAUCUCUCUUAAGAGUUGGUAUUGUCGUAUAAUGCAUUUACUAUUAUGAUGACUCCAGGUUCUUUAGCAUUUACCAUAGUCUCACUAUUAUCACAGUAGAGUGCUAAGGGUUUCACAGAUGUAGGUAUCACAUCGAUGUCCAUUAGGAUUUUCUGAGAUAUACAACCAAUUUAGUAACUUCACAAGUUGUCAAAUAUUUGGUAUUGAUGAUGGAAUCAACAAUUCAUGUUGCUUGAUAUUUCUCCAAAUAAUGGGCCUACCAUAAAUUUUGAAUCCUUUUAACCCAUUGAAAAAAAAAUCUGACAAAGAGCACAUAAUUCCUUAUUCUUCGGAUGUGCUGAAGGAUAUGAUUUAUUGCCCUUCAAUGUUUCGAUCCAAGAGUUAGAUACUAUCGACUUACCAUACCAACAAUAUAACAAAUGUCAGGUAUAUUGUACAGCAUAACAUGAAUGGGACUACAAUUGUCAAUGCAUAAGGUAUCAUACUCAUGUGCUCCAACUCUUUAGAAGUCUUAGGGGACCAAUCCUUAGAGAGCUAGAUUUCAUGUUUAAAGGGCAUAUUACCCAUUUGGAAUUUUUCAUGGCAUAUCUGAUAAGUAUUUUGUCAAUAUAUGUAGCUUGAGAUAAAGCUAUUAACUUGUUCAUUCUAUCUCUUAAGACUUGAAAACCUAGAACAUUGCUAGCUUCAAUUAAGUCUUUCAUAUGAAUUUGUUGGGCCGACUACGCUUCCGUAGACGUUAAUGCUCCCACAUUAUUUCCAAUGAGUAGAAUAUAAUUCACAUAUAGCACCAGUAAAAUUACAUUUUUGUCCUAUAUUUUCUUAUAAACAUAGGGUUUGUCGAAGUUCUGAUCAAUACCAUAUGUCUUACUCACCUCGUCGAAUAUUUUGUUUUAAGGUCUUGAUGUCUGCUUCAAUCCAUAAGUGGAUCGUUGUAUCCAUGUCAUCCAUAGUUUGCGUAUAUGAAGUCAGAUAAUCAACUUGUACUAUGAAAAUUGCCAAAUUGGACUCUCCAAUCAACAAAUGCCUAGAAAGAGAAACUAAUGACCAUUUGACUUGUCUAAAAGGUAGUCGAUCUUGGACUAUGGCAUCAUUUGGAAUCUUUAUUAUUUUUAUUAAUGCAGAGAUUACCAUUAGGUGAUGUAAUUACCUUUUCAUUACCUUCAAUUUUCUUUUGAUUUAUAAAAUCAAAUGACAACUCAUGACUCCCACUCUAAUCAUGUUGUCCAGGUAUAAUUGAUACCAUGGGAUGUCGAUCCCUAGGCUGUGUUCCAAGAAUCGACGAGAUGGAAUUGCUUCAAUUCAUUUCUUCCAACAAGAUCUUACUUUUGGACAAGCGUUCAUUAAUAUACUUAUCCUUCAGGAAUAUUGCAUUUCUGCCAACAAAGACAUUCCUAUCUAGAAGACUAUAAAAUAAUAUCUAUUGGUAUCUUUAAGGUAUCCCACAAAUAUGCAUAUCUCUGACUUAGACUUCAACUUUUCUAUUUUCCAUUCACUCAUUGAAUGGAUUCCAAAUUUUGGAUGUGACACAAAAAGGACUUGAGUCUAAAAUUUUAGGGAGUCUUGAAAAUAGAUUUAGAAGGAACUAAGUUAAGAAUAUAUAUAGCUGUUUCUAGAGUAUAUCCUAAAAAUUUAAAUUACAUAUGUUUAAUUAUUAUAAACUUUUCCUCUAAAAAAAUUUAAUCUAAACUAAAUUAAUUGGGAGAAAGCUGAUUUCCAAUGAGAUGCUAUUUAUAGUAUUACGCGCGAUAUCACAAAUAAAUCUAUAUAUAUCAUGAUAUCUAGAAUGAUAAAUGUUUCAAAUAUAAAUUAAAGCAUGCAUAAACCAUAAAUUAACAAUUAUUUGUGGAAAUUGGUAGUAUUAACCACUAUAUAGUAGUCAGUAAUGAAAAAUUUCACUUACAUUUUAUUUCCUAGCUAGUGCAUUUGGACAAUCUUUCUCCGAUUUUUUUCCAUCGUAGUUAGAAUAUUUAUGUCUCAAGUUUCCAUUUGCUUUGGACCUUUAGUUGCUCUCAUGCUUCUUGUUAGCUUUUUUCUACUUUUUUUUUCCAAAUCUGCCUUUCGACUUAGAACCAAAUGAGCUACCAAAUGAUACACAAGUACCACCAUUGUAUCUUUAAGAUCACUUUCUACAUUAUAAAUCUAUCAUAAGCUCAACUAAUUGUAUCAUCAUCUUGUAUAAGUGAUAUUCUACAUUAAAUUUUAAAAGUAUAUUAGUUAAAGAAUUGAAUACUAUGCCAAAUUGAGUUUCCUUGAUAGAUGUUGCAUCCAGACUCUCAACUAUGUUUGAAAUGUACGAUCAUAGUAAACUAUGAAACUUCACAAGCAAUUUUGAUUUCAUACAAACGUUCUUAAAAGUACGAAUGGCUUCAAAAGAGCCUCCUUAUUUUGAUGACCAAACGUGUGCUAAAAGGUCUGUAGUAUGUCAUAUGAUGUAAUCUUACUUUCAAGAUUUGCUGCAAUGCGUUUGAUAUCGAAAUCAAAAUGUAAUAGCGAGUCAUCUUGUCUACAGUUACAUACUCAGCAUAUGUAGUCCUUUUAGGAAGUUCGUAUUUGAUCUUGAUUUAAGUGUAUAACCAUUGUCUAGAUCUUUAGAUAUUUGAAAAUAUUUUUUUCAUAUAUAGGAUGUUCACAAAUUAUAUUCUAUUUAAAUGAUUUUAUUAUAAGGAAAUCCAGUCAUGCAACUUAAAAUUACGCAGUACUCAUAUCCAUUGCAUUAUCAAUAAUGGACAAACAUGUUACUUUGCUUAUGUAUUGACAGAAGGAGACGGUUGGUUUUUAUUUAAGUAAACACCAUUUCCUACUCAAUAUUUUAAAUUGACGAAUUUUAAUUAUAAUAAUUAUAACAUGUUCACAUUAUUUAAAUUACAUAUGUUUAAUUAUUAUAAACUUUUCCUCUAAAAAAAUUUAAUCUAAACUAAAUUAAUUGGGAGAAAGCUGAUUUCCAAUGAGAUGCUAUUUAUAGUAUUACGUGCGAUAUCACAAAUAAAUCUAUAUAUAUAUCAUGAUAUCUAGAAUGAUAAAUGUUUCAAAUAUAAAUUAAAGCAUGCAUAAACCAUAAAUUAACAAUUAUUUGUGGAAAUUGGUAGUAUUAACCACUAUAUAGUAGUCAGUAAUGAAAAAUUUCACUUACAUUUUAUUUCCUAGCUAGUGCAUUUGGACAAUCUUUCUCCGAUUUUUUUCCAUCGUAGUUAGAAUAUUUAUGUCUCAAGUUUCCAUUUGCUUUGGACCUUUAGUUGCUCUCAUGCUUCUUGUUAGCUUUUUUCUACUUUUUUUUUCCAAAUCUGCCUUUCGACUUAGAACCAAAUGAGCUACCAAAUGAUACACAAGUACCACCAUUGUAUCUUUAAGAUCACUUUCUACAUUAUAAAUCUAUCAUAAGCUCAACUAAUUGUAUCAUCAUCUUGUAUAAGUGAUAUUCUACAUUAAAUUUUAAAAGUAUAUUAGUUAAAGAAUUGAAUACUAUGCCAAAUUGAGUUUCCUUGAUAGAUGUUGCAUCCAGACUCUCAACUAUGUUUGAAAUGUACGAUCAUAGUAAACUAUGAAACUUCACAAGCAAUUUUGAUUUCAUACAAACGUUCUUAAAAGUACGAAUGGCUUCAAAAGAGCCUCCUUAUUUUGAUGACCAAACGUGUGCUAAAAGGUCUGUAGUAUGUCAUAUGAUGUAAUCUUACUUUCAAGAUUUGCUGCAAUGCGUUUGAUAUCGAAAUCAAAAUGUAAUAGCGAGUCAUCUUGUCUACAGUUACAUACUCAGCAUAUGUAGUCCUUUUAGGAAGUUCGUAUUUGAUCUUGAUUUAAGUGUAUAACCAUUGUCUAGAUCUUUAGAUAUUUGAAAAUAUUUUUUUCAUAUAUAGGAUGUUCACAAAUUAUAUUCUAUUUAAAUGAUUUUAUUAUAAGGAAAUCCAGUCAUGCAACUUAAAAUUACGCAGUACUCAUAUCCAUUGCAUUAUCAAUAAUGGACAAACAUGUUACUUUGCUUAUGUAUUGACAGAAGGAGACGGUUGGUUUUUAUUUAAGUAAACACCAUUUCCUACUCAAUAUUUUAAAUUGACGAAUUUUAAUUAUAAUAAUUAUAACAUGUUCACAUUAUUUAAAUUACAUAUGUUUAAUUAUUAUAAACUUUUCCUCUAAAAAAAUUUAAUCUAAACUAAAUUAAUUGGGAGAAAGCUGAUUUCCAAUGAGAUGCUAUUUAUAGUAUUACGUGCGAUAUCACAAAUAAAUCUAUAUAUAUAUCAUGAUAUCUAGAAUGAUAAAUGUUUCAAAUAUAAAUUAAAGCAUGCAUAAACCAUAAAUUAACAAUUAUUUGUGGAAAUUGGUAGUAUUAACCACUAUAUAGUAGUCAGUAAUGAAAAAUUUCACUUACAUUUUAUUUCCUAGCUAGUGCAUUUGGACAAUCUUUCUCCGAUUUUUUUCCAUCGUAGUUAGAAUAUUUAUGUCUCAAGUUUCCAUUUGCUUUGGACCUUUAGUUGCUCUCAUGCUUCUUGUUAGCUUUUUUCUACUUUUUUUUUCCAAAUCUGCCUUUCGACUUAGAACCAAAUGAGCUACCAAAUGAUACACAAGUACCACCAUUGUAUCUUUAAGAUCACUUUCUACAUUAUAAAUCUAUCAUAAGCUCAACUAAUUGUAUCAUCAUCUUGUAUAAGUGAUAUUCUACAUUAAAUUUUAAAAGUAUAUUAGUUAAAGAAUUGAAUACUAUGCCAAAUUGAGUUUCCUUGAUAGAUGUUGCAUCCAGACUCUCAACUAUGUUUGAAAUGUACGAUCAUAGUAAACUAUGAAACUUCACAAGCAAUUUUGAUUUCAUACAAACGUUCUUAAAAGUACGAAUGGCUUCAAAAGAGCCUCCUUAUUUUGAUGACCAAACGUGUGCUAAAAGGUCUGUAGUAUGUCAUAUGAUGUAAUCUUACUUUCAAGAUUUGCUGCAAUGCGUUUGAUAUCGAAAUCAAAAUGUAAUAGCGAGUCAUCUUGUCUACAGUUACAUACUCAGCAUAUGUAGUCCUUUUAGGAAGUUCGUAUUUGAUCUUGAUUUAAGUGUAUAACCAUUGUCUAGAUCUUUAGAUAUUUGAAAAUAUUUUUUUCAUAUAUAGGAUGUUCACAAAUUAUAUUCUAUUUAAAUGAUUUUAUUAUAAGGAAAUCCAGUCAUGCAACUUAAAAUUACGCAGUACUCAUAUCCAUUGCAUUAUCAAUAAUGGACAAACAUGUUACUUUGCUUAUGUAUUGACAGAAGGAGACGGUUGGUUUUUAUUUAAGUAAACACCAUUUCCUACUCAAUAUUUUAAAUUGACGAAUUUUAAUUAUAAUAAUUAUAACAUGUUCACAUUAUUUAAAUUACAUAUGUUUAAUUAUUAUAAACUUUUCCUCUAAAAAAAUUUAAUCUAAACUAAAUUAAUUGGGAGAAAGCUGAUUUCCAAUGAGAUGCUAUUUAUAGUAUUACGUGCGAUAUCACAAAUAAAUCUAUAUAUAUAUCAUGAUAUCUAGAAUGAUAAAUGUUUCAAAUAUAAAUUAAAGCAUGCAUAAACCAUAAAUUAACAAUUAUUUGUGGAAAUUGGUAGUAUUAACCACUAUAUAGUAGUCAGUAAUGAAAAAUUUCACUUACAUUUUAUUUCCUAGCUAGUGCAUUUGGACAAUCUUUCUCCGAUUUUUUUCCAUCGUAGUUAGAAUAUUUAUGUCUCAAGUUUCCAUUUGCUUUGGACCUUUAGUUGCUCUCAUGCUUCUUGUUAGCUUUUUUCUACUUUUUUUUUCCAAAUCUGCCUUUCGACUUAGAACCAAAUGAGCUACCAAAUGAUACACAAGUACCACCAUUGUAUCUUUAAGAUCACUUUCUACAUUAUAAAUCUAUCAUAAGCUCAACUAAUUGUAUCAUCAUCUUGUAUAAGUGAUAUUCUACAUUAAAUUUUAAAAGUAUAUUAGUUAAAGAAUUGAAUACUAUGCCAAAUUGAGUUUCCUUGAUAGAUGUUGCAUCCAGACUCUCAACUAUGUUUGAAAUGUACGAUCAUAGUAAACUAUGAAACUUCACAAGCAAUUUUGAUUUCAUACAAACGUUCUUAAAAGUACGAAUGGCUUCAAAAGAGCCUCCUUAUUUUGAUGACCAAACGUGUGCUAAAAGGUCUGUAGUAUGUCAUAUGAUGUAAUCUUACUUUCAAGAUUUGCUGCAAUGCGUUUGAUAUCGAAAUCAAAAUGUAAUAGCGAGUCAUCUUGUCUACAGUUACAUACUCAGCAUAUGUAGUCCUUUUAGGAAGUUCGUAUUUGAUCUUGAUUUAAGUGUAUAACCAUUGUCUAGAUCUUUAGAUAUUUGAAAAUAUUUUUUUCAUAUAUAGGAUGUUCACAAAUUAUAUUCUAUUUAAAUGAUUUUAUUAUAAGGAAAUCCAGUCAUGCAACUUAAAAUUACGCAGUACUCAUAUCCAUUGCAUUAUCAAUAAUGGACAAACAUGUUACUUUGCUUAUGUAUUGACAGAAGGAGACGGUUGGUUUUUAUUUAAGUAAACACCAUUUCCUACUCAAUAUUUUAAAUUGACGAAUUUUAAUUAUAAUAAUUAUAACAUGUUCACAUUAUUUAAAUUACAUAUGUUUAAUUAUUAUAAACUUUUCCUCUAAAAAAAUUUAAUCUAAACUAAAUUAAUUGGGAGAAAGCUGAUUUCCAAUGAGAUGCUAUUUAUAGUAUUACGUGCGAUAUCACAAAUAAAUCUAUAUAUAUAUCAUGAUAUCUAGAAUGAUAAAUGUUUCAAAUAUAAAUUAAAGCAUGCAUAAACCAUAAAUUAACAAUUAUUUGUGGAAAUUGGUAGUAUUAACCACUAUAUAGUAGUCAGUAAUGAAAAAUUUCACUUACAUUUUAUUUCCUAGCUAGUGCAUUUGGACAAUCUUUCUCCGAUUUUUUUCCAUCGUAGUUAGAAUAUUUAUGUCUCAAGUUUCCAUUUGCUUUGGACCUUUAGUUGCUCUCAUGCUUCUUGUUAGCUUUUUUCUACUUUUUUUUUCCAAAUCUGCCUUUCGACUUAGAACCAAAUGAGCUACCAAAUGAUACACAAGUACCACCAUUGUAUCUUUAAGAUCACUUUCUACAUUAUAAAUCUAUCAUAAGCUCAACUAAUUGUAUCAUCAUCUUGUAUAAGUGAUAUUCUACAUUAAAUUUUAAAAGUAUAUUAGUUAAAGAAUUGAAUACUAUGCCAAAUUGAGUUUCCUUGAUAGAUGUUGCAUCCAGACUCUCAACUAUGUUUGAAAUGUACGAUCAUAGUAAACUAUGAAACUUCACAAGCAAUUUUGAUUUCAUACAAACGUUCUUAAAAGUACGAAUGGCUUCAAAAGAGCCUCCUUAUUUUGAUGACCAAACGUGUGCUAAAAGGUCUGUAGUAUGUCAUAUGAUGUAAUCUUACUUUCAAGAUUUGCUGCAAUGCGUUUGAUAUCGAAAUCAAAAUGUAAUAGCGAGUCAUCUUGUCUACAGUUACAUACUCAGCAUAUGUAGUCCUUUUAGGAAGUUCGUAUUUGAUCUUGAUUUAAGUGUAUAACCAUUGUCUAGAUCUUUAGAUAUUUGAAAAUAUUUUUUUCAUAUAUAGGAUGUUCACAAAUUAUAUUCUAUUUAAAUGAUUUUAUUAUAAGGAAAUCCAGUCAUGCAACUUAAAAUUACGCAGUACUCAUAUCCAUUGCAUUAUCAAUAAUGGACAAACAUGUUACUUUGCUUAUGUAUUGACAGAAGGAGACGGUUGGUUUUUAUUUAAGUAAACACCAUUUCCUACUCAAUAUUUUAAAUUGACGAAUUUUAAUUAUAAUAAUUAUAACAUGUUCACAUUAUUUAAAUUACAUAUGUUUAAUUAUUAUAAACUUUUCCUCUAAAAAAAUUUAAUCUAAACUAAAUUAAUUGGGAGAAAGCUGAUUUCCAAUGAGAUGCUAUUUAUAGUAUUACGUGCGAUAUCACAAAUAAAUCUAUAUAUAUAUCAUGAUAUCUAGAAUGAUAAAUGUUUCAAAUAUAAAUUAAAGCAUGCAUAAACCAUAAAUUAACAAUUAUUUGUGGAAAUUGGUAGUAUUAACCACUAUAUAGUAGUCAGUAAUGAAAAAUUUCACUUACAUUUUAUUUCCUAGCUAGUGCAUUUGGACAAUCUUUCUCCGAUUUUUUUCCAUCGUAGUUAGAAUAUUUAUGUCUCAAGUUUCCAUUUGCUUUGGACCUUUAGUUGCUCUCAUGCUUCUUGUUAGCUUUUUUCUACUUUUUUUUUCCAAAUCUGCCUUUCGACUUAGAACCAAAUGAGCUACCAAAUGAUACACAAGUACCACCAUUGUAUCUUUAAGAUCACUUUCUACAUUAUAAAUCUAUCAUAAGCUCAACUAAUUGUAUCAUCAUCUUGUAUAAGUGAUAUUCUACAUUAAAUUUUAAAAGUAUAUUAGUUAAAGAAUUGAAUACUAUGCCAAAUUGAGUUUCCUUGAUAGAUGUUGCAUCCAGACUCUCAACUAUGUUUGAAAUGUACGAUCAUAGUAAACUAUGAAACUUCACAAGCAAUUUUGAUUUCAUACAAACGUUCUUAAAAGUACGAAUGGCUUCAAAAGAGCCUCCUUAUUUUGAUGACCAAACGUGUGCUAAAAGGUCUGUAGUAUGUCAUAUGAUGUAAUCUUACUUUCAAGAUUUGCUGCAAUGCGUUUGAUAUCGAAAUCAAAAUGUAAUAGCGAGUCAUCUUGUCUACAGUUACAUACUCAGCAUAUGUAGUCCUUUUAGGAAGUUCGUAUUUGAUCUUGAUUUAAGUGUAUAACCAUUGUCUAGAUCUUUAGAUAUUUGAAAAUAUUUUUUUCAUAUAUAGGAUGUUCACAAAUUAUAUUCUAUUUAAAUGAUUUUAUUAUAAGGAAAUCCAGUCAUGCAACUUAAAAUUACGCAGUACUCAUAUCCAUUGCAUUAUCAAUAAUGGACAAACAUGUUACUUUGCUUAUGUAUUGACAGAAGGAGACGGUUGGUUUUUAUUUAAGUAAACACCAUUUCCUACUCAAUAUUUUAAAUUGACGAAUUUUAAUUAUAAUAAUUAUAACAUGUUCACAUUAUUUAAAUUACAUAUGUUUAAUUAUUAUAAACUUUUCCUCUAAAAAAAUUUAAUCUAAACUAAAUUAAUUGGGAGAAAGCUGAUUUCCAAUGAGAUGCUAUUUAUAGUAUUACGUGCGAUAUCACAAAUAAAUCUAUAUAUAUAUCAUGAUAUCUAGAAUGAUAAAUGUUUCAAAUAUAAAUUAAAGCAUGCAUAAACCAUAAAUUAACAAUUAUUUGUAUGAAAAAUUAAAAAAAAAAUUAAAAAAAAAUAAAAUUAAAAGAAUGAGUUUCCAACGAGGGCUAAAUUUAUAAAGUUACUAUAAAAAAAAAAACUUAAUAUGGUGUAUACAUCUCCAGAAUAAUGAAGUUUGGCAUAGAAACUAUUGGAACUGGAAGUAGAAUUACUUGGAAAUUAAAAAAAUUCUUUAAUUCAAGAAAUAAGAAUAAAGGAAUCAAAUUUUUACUUAAAUUCGGUUGCUAAUUGUUGAAUUAAUUAUAAAUCACGAACUUCAUUAUUAUUUUUUUAAUCACGAACUUCCAACUUUUUAAUACCAAUAAUUUGAUGCUCCAAACUUCCAAAUUUUCUAUCAUAUUUUUCAACGUCUCAUUGGUUGGUGGACACAUUAUUUAAUCAAAUCAAAAAGUAAUUUUUGAACUAGAAAAUUGAAUAAAGUAAGAAAAAUAAUUUUUUAUUUUAUUAUAUUUUGUUGUAUUCUAUAGAAUUUCUAGAUGCUACCAAAUUUCUAUUUAUAGACAUAAAAUAGUACCAUCCAUAUAUAAUAAGAAUUUCACUUUCAAAUAGGAGUCUCAAUUAAUCCCUUGUUUAAUAGCAAUUGCUGGGGAAAAAAAUGAUGUUCUGAAUAGUAAUUCUUUGAAGAAUUUGUAGUUACAAAAAGGAAAAAAUUUGAAUUUAUGGUAAAAUAUUUUAUUUUGUGAAUGUGUAAUUGAAGAUGAGUAUGAAAAUUAAAGAAUUUUGUUUUAAAAGAAGACAAACAGAGGUUAAAAUCCAAAUAUGAGUUGUAAUUAAAGUUCAAAUUUAAUUGGUUUUAUUUAAUUACAUUUGUAGUACUAGAAGUUCAAUUAAAAUUCCAAUUAAGUUUACAACUUUCAUACCAAUUACAUAUAAAUCCAAAAUUUUAUUAUAAUUAUAAUUAAGUCCAAAACUUUUAUAAUGAUUAUAAUUAAGUUCUAAUACUUUAUAAACUUACCACAUAAUUCUGCUCGAACAUAUAUUAUCCAAGCUUUAAUAAUUAAAUCAUGUAUAGUCGACUCUAGAUCACUCGAUCUAAUUAUUUGUCUUUGCCUAAUCAUCUAAAGGUAAAAGACUGAACUUUCUAAAUAUAUAAAAUCACAUAAACCCAUAAAUUUAUAAUAUUUUCCUUAAAACGGUCAUAGAUGUAUUUUAUUUUUGCUUGAGAUUCAAUAAUUUGGUACGCAAAUAAAUGAUCAUUUACUCUUCUAAUGAUUCUCACUUACUUAAGUACAAUUUUCUUCAAUGCUUUUGUGAACUAAUCAGGAUCUCAAAAUUUAACAGUCGCUAAACAUUGAGUUUGUAUUUCAACUAUUCAAUAGAAAAUAUUUAAGUAUUCACUCUAUCUAUGUUUAAGGGCGAUGGCUCCCGACACAUUCAAAUUCUCUACUUCGUUCAUCUCAAGCUUCCAAUUCACCGAGAUAUUUGAUUAAUUUCAAUUGAUCUCACCCAUUGGUAAAUAAAAAACUGUUAAAGUCAUGAAAAAAUAUGCAAGACCCAGUUAAAUAAUUUAGAUAAAAUACACGACGAUCAAAUGAAAUUUUAUUCCUUCGCAAGUUCAUGCUAUAGAGUUAAACUUCACACUUGAUCCGUUCAAGAUUCUCUAAGUGUACUAGUAUCAAAUUUAACCAUUUUUGUGAUGAGGACAAAUCACAAAUCCGUAUAGUAAAUCAAUCAAUACUACAACCUUUCAGUACAAGGUACCACGGUUAUCCAUUGGUUGUGAACAAAUUAUUAUGAUCAAAAUAAGUUGUUUCACACUGUUCUUCUCAACACAAGUACCUCAACUACAUUAUCACAAAUGAUUUUAAUCACUUUAAUUCGCAUGCUCAAUAAUAAAUUAAUGUAAUAAAUAAAAUUAUUAUAAAAUAUUAUUUUAUUAUAGCAAAAUACGCUAUUUGGGCAUACAACCUAACAAAUUCCCCAUUUUUCCUGAAGUAUAUUUUGUCAUGUCUUACAACAUCAUAUCUUACAGCUGCUCUAAAAAAUCUUCGCCAAUAAGCUCUUAAUAAACGAUUUUGCAAGAUUAUCUCCAUUAGCAAUCUUACUAACAAUCACAUUUCUUCAACUAUCUCUCUUAAGAGUUGGUAUUGUCGUAUAAUGCAUUUACUAUUAUGAUGACUCCAGGUUCUUUAGCAUUUACCAUAGUCUCACUAUUAUCACAGUAGAGUGCUAAGGGUUUCACAGAUGUAGGUAUCACAUCGAUGUCCAUUAGGAUUUUCUGAGAUAUACAACCAAUUUAGUAACUUCACAAGUUGUCAAAUAUUUGGUAUUGAUGAUGGAAUCAACAAUUCAUGUUGCUUGAUAUUUCUCCAAAUAAUGGGCCUACCAUAAAUUUUGAAUCCUUUUAACCCAUUGAAAAAAAAAUCUGACAAAGAGCACAUAAUUCCUUAUUCUUCGGAUGUGCUGAAGGAUAUGAUUUAUUGCCCUUCAAUGUUUCGAUCCAAGAGUUAGAUACUAUCGACUUACCAUACCAACAAUAUAACAAAUGUCAGGUAUAUUGUACAGCAUAACAUGAAUGGGACUACAAUUGUCAAUGCAUAAGGUAUCAUACUCAUGUGCUCCAACUCUUUAGAAGUCUUAGGGGACCAAUCCUUAGAGAGCUAGAUUUCAUGUUUAAAGGGCAUAUUACCCAUUUGGAAUUUUUCAUGGCAUAUUUGAUAAGUAUUUUGUCAAUAUAUGUAGCUUGAGAUAAAGCUAUUAACUUGUUCAUUCUAUCUCUUAAGACUUGAAAUCCUAGAACAUUGCUAGCUUCAAUUAAGUCUUUCAUAUGAAUUUGUUGGGCCGACUACGCUUCCGUAGACGUUAAUGCUCCCACAUUAUUUCCAAUGAGUAGAAUAUAAUUCACAUAUAGCACCAGUAAAAUUACAUUUUUGUCCUAUAUUUUCUUAUAAACAUAGGGUUUGUCGAAGUUCUGAUCAAUACCAUAUGUCUUACUCACCUCGUCGAAUAUUUUGUUUUAAGGUCUUGAUGUCUGCUUCAAUCCAUAAGUGGAUCGUUGUAUCCAUGUCAUCCAUAGUUUGCGUAUAUGAAGUCAGAUAAUCAACUUGUACUAUGAAAAUUGCCAAAUUGGACUCUCCAAUCAACAAAUGCCUAGAAAGAGAAACUAAUGACCAUUUGAGUUGUCUAAAAGGUAGUCGAUCUUGGACUAUGGCAUCAUUUGGAAUCUUUAUUAUUUUUAUUAAUGCAGAGAUUACCAUUAGGUGAUGUAAUUACCUUUUCAUUACCUUCAAUUUUCUUUUGAUUUAUAAAAUCAAAUGACAACUCAUGACUCCCACUCUAAUCAUGUUGUCCAGGUAUAAUUGAUACCAUGGGAUGUCGAUCCCUAGGCUGUGUUCCAAGAAUCGACGAGAUGGAAUUGCUUCAAUUCAUUUCUUCCAACAAGAUCUUACUUUUGGACAAGCGUUCAUUAAUAUACUUAUCCUUCAGGAAUAUUGCAUUUCUGCCAACAAAGACAUUCCUAUCUAGAAGACUAUAAAAUAAUAUCUAUUGGUAUCUUUAAGGUAUCCCACAAAUAUGCAUAUCUCUGACUUAGACUUCAACUUUUCUAUUUUCCAUUCACUCAUUGAAUGGAUUCCAAAUUUUGGAUGUGACACAAAAAGGACUUGAGUCUAAAAUUUUAGGGAGCCUUGAAAAUAGAUUUAGAAGGAACUAAGUUAAGAAUAUAUAUAGCUAUUUCUAGAGUAUAUCCUAAAAAUUUAAAUUACAUAUGUUUAAUUAUUAUAAACUUUUCCUCUAAAAAAAUUUAAUCUAAACUAAAUUAAUUGGGAGAAAGCUGAUUUCCAAUGAGAUGCUAUUUAUAGUAUUACGCGCGAUAUCACAAAUAAAUCUAUAUAUAUCAUGAUAUCUAGAAUGAUAAAUGUUUCAAAUAUAAAUUAAAGCAUGCAUAAACCAUAAAUUAACAAUUAUUUGUGGAAAUUGGUAGUAUUAACCACUAUAUAGUAGUCAGUAAUGAAAAAUUUCACUUACAUUUUAUUUCCUAGCUAGUGCAUUUGGACAAUCUUUCUCCGAUUUUUUUCCAUCGUAGUUAGAAUAUUUAUGUCUCAAGUUUCCAUUUGCUUUGGACCUUUAGUUGCUCUCAUGCUUCUUGUUAGCUUUUUUCUACUUUUUUUUUCCAAAUCUGCCUUUCGACUUAGAACCAAAUGAGCUACCAAAUGAUACACAAGUACCACCAUUGUAUCUCUAAGAUCACUUUCUACAUUAUAAAUCUAUCAUAAGCUCAACUAAUUGUAUCAUCAUCUUGUAUAAGUGAUAUUCUACAUUAAAUUUUAAAAGUAUAUUAGUUAAAGAAUUGAAUACUAUGCCAAAUUGAGUUUCCUUGAUAGAUGUUGCAUCCAGACUCUCAACUAUGUUUGAAAUGUACGAUCAUAGUAAACUAUGAAACUUCACAAGCAAUUUUGAUUUCAUACAAACGUUCUUAAAAGUAUGAAUGGCUUCAAAAGAGCCUCCUUAUUUUGAUGACCAAACGUGUGCUAAAAGGUCUGUAGUAUGUCAUAUGAUGUAAUCUUACUUUCAAGAUUUGCUGCAAUGCGUUUGAUAUCGAAAUCAAAAUGUAAUAGCGAGUCAUCUUGUCUACAGUUACAUACUCAACAUAUGUAGUCCUUUUAGGAAGUUCGUAUUUGAUCUUGAUUUAAGUGUAUAACCAUUGUCUAGAUCUUUAGAUAUUUGAAAAUAUUUUUUUCAUAUAUAGGAUGUUCACAAAUUAUAUUCUAUUUAAAUGAUUUUAUUAUAAGGAAAUCCAGUCAUGCAACUUAAAAUUACGCAGUACUCAUAUCCAUUGCAUUAUCAAUAAUGGACAAACAUGUUACUUUGCUUAUGUAUUGACAGAAGGAGACGGUUGGUUUUUAUUUAAGUAAACACCAUUUCCUACUCAAUAUUUUAAAUUGACGAAUUUUAAUUAUAAUAAUUAUAACAUGUUCACAUUAUUUAAAUUACAUAUGUUUAAUUAUUAUAAACUUUUCCUCUAAAAAAAUUUAAUCUAAACUAAAUUAAUUGGGAGAAAGCUGAUUUCCAAUGAGAUGCUAUUUAUAGUAUUACGUGCGAUAUCACAAAUAAAUCUAUAUAUAUAUCAUGAUAUCUAGAAUGAUAAAUGUUUCAAAUAUAAAUUAAAGCAUGCAUAAACCAUAAAUUAACAAUUAUUUGUCGCAAGAAACAAGUUAAGAAUUAAAAAUUAAAAACUAAUUGGAUCCCAGCUCAAUAUUUAAUCUAAAUCUUCAGCCCAAACAAUCUCCAAGGAUUUAACAACAGCAAUCCAAAUAGAAAUAUGAUUCCAUCAACAUAGCCGAAAAUUUUCGAAUUUGAUCAAUCCAUGAAAAAUAGACCCACAUAUGCAAGCACAUUACUAGCUUGUGCCUCAAUUUAAAUUGUGAAUCGUCUUUAUACCCACCACAAUUGUUUUAUUUACUUUGCUAUAGUUGCCAAAUUCCCAAUUAAUUACCAAUGUCAUUAAUAUUUUGUUGUCUAGAAAAUUCAUAUUGAUGGUGGCCCACAUGUUGAGCCUCAAAAUGCAAUUUUUGAACCCAGCCAACAACUUACAAAGUGUAACAUGCAAGCAAGAGAAAUAAAAUACAAGAGGCUUUCACAAAGCCUACAAACCAUAUUUCUAUUAUAGGCUGGUUACAAGCUGUCAAUAAAAAGUACGUGAGCUAAUGAAUAAAGCGUGACUACUAAUAGAAUUAAUUAUUAUAGAGCAAUUAUAGAGCCGCCAUCUAUCAUUAUCUUAAAAUGUCAAACCUUGGAGGGAAAUAUAUAAAUACCCCCUCAUUUGAAGAGCAUGCAAUUCAAAUAUCCCACUCUCAAAUAACAAUUUCUCUUAUUGCCUUAUUUUGAGCAUCAAAACUAGGGAGUUUAGGAAGUAAUAAUCAUAGAUAGGUGAGUAGGAUUUGUUGAUCAGAUUUCUAUUGUUAACAAAUUGGCAUUAUUUGUGAAAAAACUUGCAUAAAGUAGACCACGAAAUCUUAUUAUAUCUGAAAGUUAAAACUCUUGAUAUCUGAAAUUGUGAGUCAAAUUGAGGAGAAAUCAGAGAAAAUAAAAAUGUUAAAAGUGGAAGACAAUGGUUAUAUUGACUUUCCACUGGUUAUGACACUAAUAUUAAUAGACAGAAGGAAAAAAACUCCUGCGAAAGUGCAAGUUGGCGUCUCUCUUGCAAAGAGCUAUCUCUUGCAUAAGAAAAUCGCUACUGCCAAAACCAUUAAGGAUAUGGCUGAGUUUGAAAGCGCUUACUGCAGAGAAUGCUUCUCUAUGGGUGAAGAAAGAGAAUAAAGUGCAGGAUAAAAUUGAAGAAAAUGAAAAUAUUCCAGCUAACAGUGCAUUCCGUAAUGAUAACAGCAGCAUGCAGGCAUAAAAAACCUAGGAAAAUACACCCAAAAAUCAAUGCAAAUGAUAGAGCAGAAACAAGCCUGCCAAGGAAAGGUUUCCAAAGGAGGUUAUCUCACAGGAUAAUAUGAAUAGUCGUUCAAAAGGUUGGAGGUUGAAAGUCUAUUCAAUCUUAGAGCACUUCUCUGGACGAGGUAUAUAAAGGUCGACCUAUAAGGUUGUAGAAACGAAAGACGAUGAUGAACAUCUACCAUUCUCAAGAGAGAUCAAGGAGAGAGCAAUCCCGAGAAAAUUUAAAUCGUUCGGUCAUGGAUAAGUACCUUGACAAAGAAGAUCAUAUGUUCCAUUUGUGUGAGUGCAUGACACAAAUACGACUAGAUAAAGUUAGUCCUGUACUUAAGGUUUCCAUCUUGCUUCGUACGUUCUUCCAAGCGGUGGUAUAGCAAGUUACCUCUAGGUUUGAUCCGAAGUUGGUCAUAGUUAAAACAAACUUUCCCAGGGCAUUUGUAAAAAACAGGAUAGGAUAAACCUCAGCUACUAGGUUAGUGGAAAGAGAUAGGAGGAAGACUAGCCAUUCAAGAGCUACUUUACGCAUUUUAGUGUUGAACUGAUUGCUUAUGAAACAAUACCGAACGAGAAGGCUCGAGAUGCCUUGUGGAAAGGAUUACUGAUGGAGAAUCCCUCCUUCUGAGAUGUCUGUAACAAGAAUCUAGCCUCUUAACAUCAGUCGAUAAGUUUGAUACAAGAUAAGAUCUAGACUGAAGAUACAAUAGAGAAUCGAAAGAAGUAGAACAGGGACGAGUUCUCUUUGGGCAAAGCCUUUGGUAGCCAGCCUGACUUUAUACCUUAUGGGGUCUGAUGAGUUAUUUCUUUCCUUUAACUUGUAAAUCCACUUACAAUGAACAAUUCUAUGAUUAUUAGGACUUCCUCCUUUUUUUCUUUUUUGACCAAAUUCCAUGUCUUAUUUUCAGUUAGGGAUUUCAUUUCUUCCCUCAUUGCAGUUUUCCCAUUUGCAGCAUUUGGGCAAUUCAUAGCUUCCUCAAUGGCAAAAAGUUCUAAAUUCUCUAAUGCUUCACCAGAUGUUAAGGCAAAGUCAGUCAAAUUGUCAAUUUCAUACCUAGGGUUAGGCUUCACUUGCCUUCUUUCCCUAUCUCUCACAAAUUAGUAGUCUUAAUUAAUAAGUUCAGUGUUAGAAUUGUUAGGAGUGGUCCAAUCUCAAGUUCAGUUUCUAUGUUAAGGGAACUACCUUCAUCUUCAUCAGGCUCCCCAAUCCUCUCUGGAGUUUCUUGUGCAGCAUAAUGAGUUAAUGAACGUGGCCAACUUAACUUCAUUAGUAGGAAUGUUUCUUUCAUUUGGCUCAACAUGUUUUUCAAUCUUAUUUUUUAAACAUGGCAUUUCAGAUUCAUUAAACAAAACAUUCCUACUGUUGAUUAUUUUUAUGCCUUUUCCAAGACACAUAGUUUGUAACUCUUUACCCCUUCAGGAUAUCCCUAGCAAAACACACUUUGUUGCCCUAGGAUCUAACAACUCUAAUAUGUGAUAGGUCAGGUGGUUUUCUAGCCUAUAGUUCUUGAGGUGUUUUAAAGCCAACAAAACUGCUAGGGGACCUACUUAUGAGGUAUGCAACUGUUCAAACAACUUCAGCUCAGAACCUUUUUACAAGCCCUAAGCUGAUAAGAAGGCAUUUGACUUUGUUCAUGAGUGUUUUGUUCAUUCUUUCAGCUAACCCAUUUUGUUGGGAUGUGUUUCUAACAAUCCUAUGUCUGACAUCCCUUUUUGUUUAUAGAAGUUCUCAAAUUUAGAAUUAAAGAACUCCUAUGCAUUAUCAAUCCUUAGUGUUUUCAGUUUUUUAUUCAACUGAUUCUCUAUAAUUUUAAGCAAAGUUUUGAAUUUCUAGAAAGCUUCAGAUUCAGCCCUUAAAGGGUAAACCUAGACUUUCCUAGAAGAGUCAUCAAUGAUGGACAUAAAGUAUCCGUUCCCCCCAAAGGUGGGGUGACUUUCAAGUCCCCGCAAGUCAGAAUGAAUAUAAUCCAAAGGUCUAUUAGUGGUAUGAGACCCUAUAUUGAAACUCACCUUAUGGGACUUACCUAAUACACAAGUCUCAAAAAGUUGAAAGGGCUCAAUUAUAUCUUUCCCAAGUAACUUUUGAUUACUUAGAUAUUUUAGGCCCUUAUUGCCAAUAUGUCCUAAUCUAUUACGACAAAAUUCAGACUUAGUUUCAAGUACAGUUAAAGAGCUAUUAUCUUGAGUGGUUAUGGUUUCUUCAGGAAGAUAAUAUAGCCCAUUCUUCUUAGGUUCUUUCAACAUAACAAGUAAUCCCUUCAUCACUUUUAGUAUGUUAUUAUCAGAUUUAAAUGUAUACCCUUCAUCUUCAGGAAUCCCUAAUGAAAUAAGGUUUCUUUUUAAGUUUGGGACAUGCCUAACAUUCUUGAUUUGUCUCACAAUGUCAUCAUGCAUUUUAAUAGCAAUGUCACCAAUUCCCUGUACUAUUUGGGAAUUGUUAUCUCCCAUGUACACUUUCUUGGAUUCAAUUGAUUUGUAAUUGUAGAACCAAGAUCUAUUAGGACUCGUGUGAAAUGUGCAUCUUGAGUUUAAGCUCCAAUCCUUGUCACUAUCAUCAUUAGACACAAUCAUUACAAGAAGACUAUCCAGAUCAUGACUGAUAGUAACAUUGUUCAGGUCAACAAUGCUUUGGUAUUUGUGUUUCCUUUGCACUUCAAAAUAGUCUCUUAAAGUGCCCAAGAUUUUCACAAUGAUAACACUUUUUAAAUUUUCUAUUCUGGGUAUUAUUUUCUUCUUUUCUGUUCUCCCUCUAACAAACACGCCAUCUUCUCUUGUAUUAGAUUUAGUUUCUUUCUUGGCCUUUAGUUCUCUAGCUAUUGAAGCAUUUGUUACUAUAGUCUGAGUUAGAGCAUCUCUUGAGUAUUUUAUGGCAUUUUUUAUAUGCUUAUAAGAUUUAGGUAGUGAGUUAAGUAGUAUAAUGCAAGGUCUUCAUCAUCAAAUUGCUUGUCAUUAUGUGCAAGACUCUUAACUAAAAUACUAAAAUCACUCAAGUUUGUUUCUGGUCUUUCCCAGUGUCCAUCUUAAAACUGAAUAAUUUCUCUAGCAAAUAGAUUUUGUUGGGCAAUGUCUUAAUCAAGAACAAUGAAUCAAGUGCAGUCCAUAAGGCUCUACGUGUUUUAGAAUCUUCAACUUGUCUUAUAAUGUUGUCAGAUAAAUGCUAGAUAAUUGAACUAUAAACAAUUUCAUUCAUUUCUAGAAUUUCAUUAGGUCUAGCUUUUAAUUUAGCAAAAAAAUUUUAGGAUCAUCAAGGGCCUUAGUAACCCUUGGUUGGAUCAAUAUAGCCCUCAUUUUCUGCUUUAAUAUCGAGUAUUCCCAUUUUCCAUCGAAUUGAGACAACUCGAACUUCGAAUCCAUUAUAGGUUCAGUAAAAGGGUGGUGAUUACUUGUGGAUAUAAGUGAUUCUUAAUAGAUGAUCACUUAAGUGCAGGAAAGGUUUUGAAAAAACUUUGCAACAAUUAAAAGGUAAAUUAACUUAAGAAUGACAAUAUAGUAUCAACAAGAGUAUGCAAGCUAUCACAACAAAGUCAACAAGUAUGAAAUUGUUCUUAAAAAUUUAUCAACUAGUGUCACACAAUCUUUAAGAACAACAAAUGCAUGCUUUUUAGUUAUUAUGAGUAAAGUCAAAAUUAGAACAAUUUCACCCAUUGCACGGUUGACUUAUUAAAAUUCAAAUACUUAGACCACCUUUCAAGAAACCCAUUCGAGCCCAAGACACCAAGAUCACCAGUUAUGGCUUUCAGCCACUGUACUUAUUAGAAAAUCGAUCAGUAAUAAUUUCCAAAAAAAUAUUCAAUGUAUACAAAAAUAUGAAUUAAAGUGGAUCAAGAAGAUGAUUCUCUGACAGGAAAUCGUGACUCGAAGUCCUAAUAGCUCUGAUACCAUAUUCGCAAGGAUUUACCCGUUUGUUUCAUUGUUCGUGUGAGA